GGGCCCGCACAAGCGGUGGAGUAUGUGGUUUAAUUCGAUGCAACGCGAAGAACCUUACCAGGGUUUGACAUCCUGCGAAUCUCUUGGAAACAGGAGAGUGCCUUCGGGAACGCAGUGACAGGUGGUGCAUGGCUGUCGUCAGCUCGUGUCGUGAGAUGUUGGGUUAAGUCCCGCAACGAGCGCAACCCACGUCUUUAGUUGCCAGCAUUUAGUUGGGCACUCUAGAGAGACUGCCGGUGAUAAACCGGAGGAAGGUGUGGAUGACGUCAAAUCAUCACGGCCCUUACGUCCUGGGCUACACACGUGCUACAAUGGCCGGUACAGAGAGCAGCCACCACGCGAGUGGGAGCGAAUCUUCAAAGCCGGUCUCAGUUCGGAUCGCAGUCUGCAACUCGACUGCGUGAAGCUGGAAUCGCUAGUAAUCGC
rnacentral:rRNA from 1 species